UACGUAGGGUGCAAGCGUUGUCCGGAAUUAUUGGGCGUAAAGAGCUUGUAGGCGGUUUGUCGCGUCUGCUGUGAAAUUUCGGGGCUCAACCCCGAACUUGCAGUGGGUACGGGCAGACUAGAGUGUGGUAGGGGAGACUGGAAUUCCUGGUGUAGUGGUGAAAUGCGCAGAUAUCAGGAGGAACACCGGUGGCGAAGGCGGGUCUCUGGGCCGUAACUGACGCUGAGGAGCGAAAGCAUGGGGAGCGAACAGG
rnacentral:rRNA from 1 species